rnacentral:tRNA from 1 species
GCCUGGGUGGCUCAGUCAGUUAAGCGUCUGACUUCAGCUCAGGUCAUGAUCUCACGGUUCGUGGGUUCAAGCCCCACAUUGGGCU